ACCCGCUGAACUUAAGCAUAUCAAUAAGCGGAGGAAAAGAAACCAACAGGGAUUGCCUCAGUAACGGCGAGUGAAGCGGCAAGAGCUCAAAUUUAAAAGCCGACGUAGCUUUAAGAGACGUCCGCAUUGUAAUUUGAAGAGGCAUUCUCGGGUCGGGGCUCAGGCCUAAGUUCCUUGGAAGAGGGCGUCGUGGAGGGUGAGAACCCCGUUCGCGGCCUGCUGUCGACCUUUCCCCGAUCCACACGAGGUGCCAUCGAAGAGUCGAGUUGUUUGGGAAUGCAGCUCAAAGCGGGUGGUAAAUUCCAUCUAAAGCUAAAUAUUGACGGGAGACCGAUAGCGAACAAGUAGAGUGAUCGAAAGAUGAAAAGCACUUUGGAAAGAGAGUCAAACAGCACGUGAAAUUGUUGAAAGGGAAGCGCUUGAGACCAGUCACGGACCGAGGCGAUCAGUGGGACGUCCCUCUCGGGGGAGGAACCGCGCACUCGCUUUUCGGGUUUUCCGGGUCAACAUCGGUUGGGACGGUGUCAGAAAGGUCGCGGGAACGUGGCUCCCUUCACGGGGAGUGUUAUAGCCCGUGGCGUCAAAGUCGCCAGUUUCGACCGAGGACCGCGCUCGUCUUUUUCGAGCAAGGAUGUUGACGUAAUGGUCCC
rnacentral:rRNA from 1 species